GAGUUUGAUCAUGGCUCAGGAUGAAUGCUGGCGGCGUGCUUAACACAUGCAAGUCGAACGGAGCACCUCGGAUCAAGUUUUCGGACGAGAGAAGAGACUGCUUAGUGGCGGACGGGUGAGUAACGCGUGAGGAACCUGCCUUGGAGAGGGGAAUAACACAAGGAAACUUGUGCUAAUACCGCAUGAAGCAUAGCUAUCGCAUGGUAACUAUGCCAAAGAUUUAUCGCUCUGAGAUGGCCUCGCGUCUGAUUAGCUAGUAGGUGGGGUAACGGCCUACCUAGGCGACGAUCAGUAGCCGGACUGAGAGGUUGACCGGCCACAUUGGGACUGAGACACGGCCCAGACUCCUACGGGAGGCAGCAGUGGGGAAUAUUGGGCAAUGGGCGCAAGCCUGACCCAGCAACGCCGCGUGAAGGAAGAAGGCUUUCGGGUUGUAAACUUCUUUUAUUCGGGACGAAAGAAAUGACGGUACUGAAUGAAUAAGCCACG
rnacentral:rRNA from 1 species